rnacentral:rRNA from 1 species
AUUGAACGCUGGCGGCAGGCUUAACACAUGCAAGUCGAACGAGUGGCGGACGGGUGAGUAAUGCUUGGGAAUCUAGCUUAUGGAGGGGGAUAACUACGGGAAACUGUAGCUAAUACCGCGUACCAUAGGAUGAGCCCAAGUGGGAUUAGGUAGUUGGUGGGGUAAAGGCUCACCAAGCCGACGAUCUCUAGCUGGUCUGAGAGGAUGACCAGCAAAACUGGAACGGAGACACGGCCCAGCCUCCAACGGGGGGCAGCAGGGGGAAAAAUGGCGCAAUGGGGGCAACCUGAGGAGGCCAGGCCGGUUGAAUGAAGAAGGCCUUCGGGUUGAAAAGUUUUUUAGGUAGCGAGGCGUUAACUACAGAAGAAGCACCGGCUAACUCCGUGCCAGCAGCCGCGGUAAUA